UGUACCUAUUUAUAAAGGAAAGAAUUUUUGCCUGGUGUCUUUCCACUACUAAACAACCAGCCAGAACAGGAACAAGCAGGACUAGCUCGGUUUUUGCCCCAUUCUGAGACAGCCGUUUGUCCUUGAUCUAUUCUUCAGCGAGAGGCACACAGACAAUGGAGGUUUUGGGUUACACUUCCCAAGUGGGGAUGUUAAGGGACACUCACAAGUGGUGAGGUCACAGUCACUCUGGGAAGACUGGGCGGAACGGAAGGCUGCGGAGAUGACACAGGAAGGCGAGCUAACAGGACUGCACAGUUUUAGGGAAUUUCUUUUAUAGUAGGCUGUCAUAGUAGCUAGGCUUCUGCAAAUUUCCUCAAGGGCUUGGGGACAGUUAAACUCAAGAUGUUAACAGUUUGGGCCCACAACACACCUGUGUAUCAACAAUACAACAGAGAAUGGCAAUGGGCUACAGCUGGACUUCUCUGGAAAAGAUGGAGGUCCAUCCUGCUCCUCUGAGGGUCUUCUGAGGGUCAGGGCCAGGUAGACACAGCAGAAAACUCGGAGAUAUCAAGAGCCUGUUGUUCUGUGACAUGACAGAAUGGGAAGGAAAACAAGGCGCUCACCUCAGGGGGUAACAGAAGGUUGGGCCCCUGUAGUGCUUUGUGUAUGUGUGUGUGUGUGUGGAGUAAAACAAGAUGUCUUCUUGCUGCACAGUGUGUGUGUGUGUGUG